GCCACUGCUAUUGGGGUUCGGCUAAGCCGUGCGAGUGGAGGGCGUCCCGCAAGGGAUGGCCCCCGCAGACGGCUCAGUAACACGUCGUCAACCCACCUUAGGGUGGGGGACAACCUCGGGAAACUGAGGAUAAUCCCCCCAUAGGCGGGGGAGGCUAGAAUGCGCCCCCGCUGAAAGCUCAGGCGCCCUAGGACGGGACGGCGGCCUAUCAGGUAGUUGGUGGUGUGACG
rnacentral:rRNA from 1 species